GAUGAACGCUGGCGGCGUGCCUAAUACAUGCAAGUCGAGCGAACGGACGAGAAGCUUGCUUAUCUGAUGUUAGCGGCGGACGGGUGAGUAACACGUGGAUAACCUACCUAUAAGACUGGGAUAACUUCGGGAAACCGGAGCUAAUACCGGAUAAUAUUUUGAACCGCAUGGUUCAAAAGUGAAAGACGGUCUUGCUGUCACUUAUAGAUGGAUCCGCGCUGCAUUAGCUAGUUGGUAAGGUAACGGCUUACCAAGGCAACGAUGCAUAGCCGACCUGAGAGGGUGAUCGGCCACACUGGAACUGAGACACGGUACAGACUCCUACGGGAGGCAGCAGUAGGGAAUCUUCCGCAAUGGGCGAAAGCCUGACGGAGCAACGCCGCGUGAGUGAUGAAGGUCUUCGGAUCGUAAAACUCUGUUAUUAGGGAAGAACAUAUGUGUAAGUAACUGUGCACAUCUUGACGGUACCUAAUCAGAAAGCCACGGCUAACUACGUG
rnacentral:rRNA from 1 species